rnacentral:tRNA from 1 species
GCCCUGUUCGUCUAGCGGCCUAGGACGCUGGCCUCUCACGCCGGUAACAGGGGUUCGAAACCCCUACCGGGCG